rnacentral:rRNA from 1 species
UACGAAGGGGGCUAGCGUUAUUCGGAAUCACUGGGCUUAAAGCGCGUGUAGGCGGAUGAGCACGUCUGUCGCUGAAAUCCCCCGGCUCAACCGGGGAACGGGCGCGGAUACGGCUCGUCUCGAGGGGCGUAGGGGGACCUGGAACUUCCGGUGGAGCGGUGAAAUGCGUUGAGAUCGGAAGGAACGCCCGUGGCGAAAGCGAGGUCCUGGACGCCUACUGACGCUGAGACGCGAAAAGCCAGGGGAGCCGAACGGG